rnacentral:lncRNA from 1 species
CAUGAUUAUUACAUGGCAUUAAAUCAAAAAUUAAAAUAUAUAAAUAUAGCAUGAACUACAUGUUGAUCAUAUCAACAUGUUUCUAUACUACAUCUAAUGUAUGUAUUAAACAAUAGAUCAGAUCUAUUACCUUGCAAGUUAGACGCUCUAACCUCGCUGAUCCGAGCUUAAGGAUGAUGUUGCAAGCCGCACAUGCGUCCGACCUCUAGGAGUCAUCCACACGAGCCCACGAAUCUCGAUC